GACGAACGCUGGCGGCGUGCCUAACACAUGCAAGUCGAACGAUGAUCCGGGUGCUAGCACCUGGGGAGUAGUGGCGAACGGGUGAGUAACACGCGAGUACCAUGCCCUGGAAUCUGGGAUAACCCCGUGAAAUCGUAGCUAAUACCGUCUAGGACCUUUCCAUGCAUGGGGUGGGGAGGAAAGUUCUUUGGGUUUGGGAUGGACUCGCGGCCGAUCCGCUCGUUGGUGUGGUAAUGGCUCACCAAGGCGUCGACGGGCAGCCGGCCUGAGAGGGUGACCGGCCACACUGGGACUGAGAAACGGCCCAGACUACUACGGGAGGCAGCAGUGUGGAAUAUUGCACAAUGGGCGCAAGCCUGAUGCAGCAACGCCGCGUGCGGGAUGACGGCCUUCGGGUUGUAAACCUCUUUCAGCAGGGAAGAAGCGAAAGUGACGGUACCUGCAGAAGAAGCACCGGCUAACUCUGUGCCAGCAGCCGCCGUAAGAC
rnacentral:rRNA from 1 species